rnacentral:rRNA from 1 species
ACGGGUGCGUAACACGUGGGUAAUCUGCCCUUCGAAGGGGAAUAACUCGCCGAAAGGCGAGCUAAUUCCGCAUAACAUUCCGGGGACUUUGGUUCUUGGAUUCAAAGGCGUAAGUCGUCGGAGGAGGAGCCCGCGCACGAUUAGCUAGUUGGUGAGGUAAUGGCUCACCAAGGCUAUGAUCGUUAGCUGGUCUGAGAGGAUGGCCAGCCACACUGGAACUGAGACACGGUCCAGACUCCUACGGGAGGCAGCAGUGGGGAAUCUUGCACAAUGGGCGAAAGCCUGAUGCAGCGACGCCGCGUGGGGGAUGAAGCUUCUCGGAGUGUAAACCCCUUUCGACCCGGACGAAUGCCCCGCAAGGGGACUGACGGUACGGGUAUAAGAAGCCCCGGCUAACUACGUGCCAGCAGCCGCGG